rnacentral:tRNA from 1 species
GUUUUGCGGCUUACUGGUAGAGCGCUCGCCUCACACGUGAGAGACCCUGGGUUUGAUCCUCAGCACCACA